CUCCGCGCAGCUAAUCGGCGUCGUGCUCGGCGCCGCUGGGUGGUCCUCCGCUUUCCGUGGGAACUUUGAAAGCAAGGGGGGGAAAAAACAGAAAAGAAAAAAGAGGCUCUCGGAGGCGGCCAGCGGGCAGCGGCAGGAUGUUUGACCUUAAAGGAGCGAUCUGAAGAAAAAAGAUCGUCCGAACAGACUGAAUCAACAAACUGUCUUUGUUUACACGACUGAAUAAACAGAAAUAAACAAACUGACCUUAAAGAACAA